rnacentral:rRNA from 3 species
AUACUUGACCUCAAAUCAGGUAGGACUACCCGCUGAACUUAAGCAUAUCAAUAAGCGGAGGAAAAGAAACUAACAAGGAUUCCCCUAGUAACUGCGAGUGAAGCGGGAAAAGCUCAAAUUUAAAAUCUGGCGGUCUCUGGCCGUCCGAGUUGUAAUCUAGAGAAGUAAUGCCCGUGCUGGACCGUGUAUAAGUCUCCUGGGAUGGAGCGUCAUAGAGGGUGAGAAUCCCGUCUUUGACACGGACUACCAGUGCAUUGUGGUAUGCUCUCAAAGAGUCGAGUUGUUUGGGAAUGCAGCUCAAAAUGGGUGGUAAAUUCCAUCUAAAGCUAAAUAUUGGCGAGAGACCGAUAGCGAACAAGUACCGUGAGGGAAAGAUGAAAAGAACUUUGGAAAGAGAGUUAAACAGUACGUGAAAUUGCUGAAAGGGAAACGCUUGAAGUCAGUCGCGUUGGCCAGGGAUCAGCCUUGCUUUUGCAUGGUGUACUUUCUGGUUGACGGGUCAGCAUCAAUUUUGACCGCUGGAAAAGGGCCUGGGGAAUGUGGCAGCUUCGGCUGUGUUAUAGCCCCUGGUCGCAUACAGUGGUUGGGAUUGAGGAACUCAGCACGCCGCAAGGCCGGGUUUCGACCACGUUCGUGCUUAGGAUGCUGGCAUAAUGGC